GAGUAACACGUUGAAUAAUCUACCUCCGAGUGGGGAAUAACUGAGAGAAAUCUUAGCUAAUGCCGCAUAACACUUACGAGUCAAAGCAGCAAUGCGCUUGGAGAGGAGUUCGCGGCCGAUUAGUUAGUUGGCGGGGUAAUGGCCCACCAAGACGAUGAUCGGUAUCCGGCCUGAGAGGGCGCACGGACACACUGGAACUGAAACACGGUCCAG
rnacentral:rRNA from 1 species